CAAACGGGCUUGUGGAGCGCCUGAUCGUAAGCGAGUCCACCGAGCCAUCCACGAGCCCAUAUUCAUCUACACAGGCUUCUGCAGAUGCGUUGCCGACUUUUUGAGAUGGAGGUCCCUACAAAUAAACCGCAAUCCGCUGAUGGACAAAAGGAAUAUUUUUUAUUAUCGGGCCUAUGAGGAACAGUAAUUAAAAAUUGGACAACAAGUUAAAUGAAGUAGCUGGGGUGUGCAUUUGCACGUAGAAAUAUAUGCCAUACCGUCUUAAUGGCAUGCAAGGGGCUUUCAAAUAAAGUAAGAUAUUUGUACCUAAA